AGCGAACGCUGGCGGCAGGCCUAAAACAUGCAAGUCGAACGCCGUAGCAAUACGGAGUGGCAGACGGGUGAGUAACACGUGGGAACGUGCCCUUUGGUUCGGAACAACACAGGGAAACUUGUGCUAAUACCGGAUAAGCCCUUACGGGGAAAGAUUUAUCGCCAAAGGAUCGGCCCGCGUCUGAUUAGCUAGUUGGUGGGGUAACGGCCCACCAAGGCUACGAUCAGUAGCCGGUCUGAGAGGAUGAUCAGCCACACUGGGACUGAGACACGGCCCAGACUCCUACGGGAGGCAGCAGUUAGGAAUCUUGGACAAUGGGCGCAAGCCUGAUCCAGCCAUGCCGCGUGAGUGAUGAAGGCCUUAGGGUUGUAAAGCUCUUUCAGCGGGGAAGAUAAUGACGGUACCCGCAGAAGAAGCCCCGGCUAACUUCGUGCCAGCCGCCGCCGUAA
rnacentral:rRNA from 1 species